ACUCCAAUCAGUGAAACUGAUCUCUCCGUGAAGAAGCGGGGAUACAAAUAUAAGACGAGAAGACCCCAUGGAGCUUUAAACCCAACGACACCCAUUUUCUUUAUACCCUAGUAUUCAUUUGGCUAUGUUUGAUUGGUUUUAGGUUGGGGUGACCACGGAGCAUAAAAUAACCUCCACGAAGAAGAGACUAAUAAUCUUUAUCAAAGAAGUACACUUCUAAGAAUUAACAAAUUAAUUUCCAAUGAUCCGAUAUUCGAUCAACGAACCAAGUUACCCUGGGGAUAACAGCGCAAUCCACCUCAAGAGCUCCUAUCGACAGGUGGGUUUACGACCUCGAUGUUGGAUCAGGAUAUCCCAGUGGUGUAGCAGCUACUAAAGGUUCGUUUGUUCAACGAUUAAAAUCCU
rnacentral:rRNA from 1 species